GGGGACGUACAGUAAUGUCAUGAACUGGUGAGUAAUUCCUUGAUUAAGCAAUACCACCUAGGGAUAGGGGUAGGACGAUCAAUUGUUUUUUACUUCUGCUCUAUAAUGCUUUAUUAAUUGCUAGGGGAGGCUAGGGAUAGCAAGCCAGUAAUUAGUAAUAGGCUAUUUUCGCCGAGGGAUCGGGUUAAGGAUAGGCUAAGAAAGUUGCAUGACAAUUAACUAAUCAAGCUUAUAAAUCAAGAAGAGUAAAUAAGAGAGAGCGGAUAAGAUGAAAUUGUAAACCCCCAACAACUCCAUUCAUCCAUGGUUUUCUUCUUGUCAAUUGAAUCAAUCUCUUUU
rnacentral:lncRNA from 1 species